rnacentral:rRNA from 1 species
UACGUAGGUGGCAAGCGUUGUCCGGAUUUACUGGGCGUAAAGAGCGCGCAGGCGGUCGUUCAAGUCGCGUGUGAAAGCCCCCGGCUCAACUGGGGAGGGUCACGCGAUACUGAUCGACUCGAAGGCAGGAGAGGGUAGUGGAAUUCCCGGUGUAGUGGUGAAAUGCGUAGAGAUCGGGAAGAACAUCGGUGGCGAAGGCGUUCUACUGGACCACAACUGACACUCAGGGACGAAAGCUAGGGGAGCGAAUGGG